UACGUAGGGUGCAAGCGUUGUCCGGAAUUAUUGGGCGUAAAGGGCGCGUAGGUGGUUCUGUAUGUCUACCGUGAAAGCGUACGGCUCAACCGUAUUUUGUCGGUGGAAACUGCAGGACUUGAGGCUGGGAGGGGCUGGUGGAAUUCCCUGUGUAGCGGUGAAAUGCGUAGAGAUGGGGGGAGAACACUCGUGGCGAAGGCGGCCAGCUAGACCAGUUCUGACACUGAGGCGCGACAGCGUGGGGGAGCGAACAGG
rnacentral:rRNA from 1 species